rnacentral:rRNA from 1 species
GACGAACGCUGGCGGCGUGCUUAACACAUGCAAGUCGAACGGAAAGGCCCUGCUUUUGUGGGGUGCUCGAGUGGCGCACGGGUGAGUAACACGUGAGUACCCUGCCCUUGACUUUGAGAUAACUUCAGGACACUGGGGCUCAUACCAGAUAGGAGCUCCUGCUGCAUGGUGGGGGUUGGAUAGUUUCGGCGGUUGGGGGUGGACUCGCGGCUUAUCGGCUUGUUGGUGGGGUAGUGGCUUACCAAGGCUUGGACGGGUAGGCGGCCGGAGAGGGUGACCGGCCACAGUGGCAGUGAGAUACGGCCGAGACCCCUGCGGGAGGGAGGAGGGGGGAAUUGUGCACAAGGGGCGGAAGUCUUAUGCAGCAACGCCGCGUGCGGGAUGGCGGCCUGCGGGUUUGAAACCGCUUUCGCAUGUGACGGAGCGUGAGUGACGGUAAUGGGUGAAGAAGCACCGGCUAACUACGUG